GGGUUGUGAGGUUAAGUGACUAAGCGUACACGGUGGAUGCCUAGGCAGUCAGAGGCGAUGAAGGGCGUGCUAAUCUGCGAAAAGCGUCGGUAAGGUGAUAUGAACCGUUAUAACCGGCGAUACCCGAAUGGGGAAACCCAGUGUGUUUCGACACACUAUCAUGUCAUGAAUACAUAGUGGCAUGAGGCGAACCGGGGGAACUGAAACAUCUAAGUACCCCGAGGAAAAGAAAUCAACCGAGAUUCCCCCAGUAGCGGCGAGCGAACGGGGAGGAGCCCAGAACCUGAAUCGGCUUGUGUGUUAGUGGAAGCGUCUGGAAAGUCGCGCAGUAAAGGGUGAUAGCCCCGUACACUAAAAUGCACAGGUCGUGAGUUCGAUGAGUAGGGCGGGACACGUGACAUCCUGUCUGAAUAUGGGGGGACCAUCCUCCAAGGCUAAAUACUCCUGACUGACCGAUAGUGAACCAGUACCGUGAGGGAAAGGCGAAAAGAACCCCGGCGAGGGGAGUGAAAUAGAACCUGAAACCGUGUACGUACAAGCAGUGGGAGCACCUUCGUGGUGUGACUGCGUACCUUUUGUAUAAUGGGUCAGCGACUUAUAUUUUGUAGCAAGGUUAACCGUAUAGGGGAGCCGUAGGGAAACCGAGUCUUAACUGGGCGAAUAGUUGCAAGGUAUAGACCCGAAACCCGGUGAUCUAGCCAUGGGCAGGUUGAAGGUUGGGUAACACUAACUGGAGGACCGAACCGACUAAUGUUGAAAAAUUAGCGGAUGACUUGUGGCUGGGGGUGAAAGGCCAAUCAAACCGGGAGAUAGCUGGUUCUCCCCGAAAGCUAUUUAGGUAGCGCCUCGUGAACUCAUCUUCGGG
rnacentral:rRNA from 1 species